GGCGCUGUAGUGUAGCGGUUAUCACUCAAGAUUCUGAAUAAUUCUGACUUCUUGUAACCCCGGUUCGAUUCCGGGCAGUGCCU
rfam:Hypholoma sublateritium FD-334 SS-4 unplaced genomic scaffold scaffold_1, whole genome shotgun sequence.